GCAUAUCAAUAAGCGGAGGAAAAGAAACCAACAGGGAUUGCCUUAGUAGCGGCGAGUGAACCGGCAAAAGCUCAAAUUUGAAAUCUGCUAGCAAUAGCCGAAUUGUAAUUUGUAGAUGGUAACUCUGUAAGGAGUCUUUGCUCAAGUUUUCUGGAAUGAAACAUCAUGGAGGGUGAGAAUCCCGUGAGGCAUUGACGUACUUGCGUGUAGAGUGCUAUCGAAGAGUCGAGUUGUUUGGGAAUGCAGCUCAAAGUGGGUGGUAAACAUCAUCUAAAGCUAAAUAUUGGCGAGAGACCGAUAGCGAACAAGUACUGUGAAGGAAAGAUGAAAAGUACCUUGAAAAGGGGGUGAAAAAGUAUGUGAAAUUGAUAAUAUGGAAGGGUAUGAGAUUAGACAUUGAGUUUUGAGUUCGCUGGUCCCUCGGGGCUAGUUUGUCUCUUUACUCUACACCAACAUCAGUUUUGGCAGGAGGAUAAACAAUGCGGAAUGUAGCUGCUUGCAGUGUUAUAGACGUAUUGCAUACUCUUAGCCGGGACUGAGGUCAGCCUUGUA
rnacentral:rRNA from 1 species